rnacentral:rRNA from 1 species
UAGGGAAUCUUCCACAAUGGACGCAAGUCUGAUGGAGCAACGCCGCGUGAGUGAAGAAGGGUUUCGGCUCGUAAAGCUCUGUUGUUAAAGAAGAACGUGGGUAAGAGUAACUGUUUACCCAGUGACGGUAUUUAACCAGAAAGCCACGGCUAACUACGUGCCAC